UACAAGCAUCUUUCAAUAAAUGGAAAAAGAAGCUGACUCUUCCUUUUAUAAUUGAUAGAAUGGGAAAGAAAAAGAAGACUUUGUCUUUUUUUCUGACUACGCUGUUUACGAUGAUCAGAGUUUAUGUGGCCUACGCUUUCUGCUGCUCUUCCUAUCGGGCUGAGCAAGACACUAUCCGGUUCUUUAGGCAUCUGUUCUACACUAGGGUAAACAAUUUCAUUAAAGCCUAAACACCUAAGGAGUAUCUUACAAAGAAAAGUGAAAGUGGAAGCAAAAACCUAGCUUGAAUUAUUGGUUGUUGAACAAGAUCAUAAUAUGAAAAUUGUUCGUUUUCAUAGCAUAAGUCCUUGAACACACUAAAGCAAGAAUUUCUCUUGAGAAUUGUAUAAUGUUUGCUUGAUUGCUCUCUCUCUCUUUUUAUUUUCUUUCUCUCAAAACCUUCUUUUCUUGCUUCAUUUUUAUAAUGGUCGAAUGCCAUUAUUGUGCUUUAAUAAAAAUGAGCGACAAUUGCAACAUAAACUACCUAAGGCAAUUUUAAGACAUUAAAAUAAAUUGCCCAAGACAAUUAACUUCAUAGGAUGUAAUCUACCAAUUAUGGGUGGUUACCAAUAGUUUCAUAUGCAUUGUAUGUUAUAUAUUAAACCUUAAUUAUUUUGGUAUUUGUUAAAUGAUUUAUGUUUAAUAAAUCUUGCUUAAAAUUUUAUCAUCUAAAUCUUUUCAAUUAAUUUAUAGUUUUAGUUUCUUUUAAAAAAAAUUGUUAGUGUUAAUUUCUUUAUAAAUUAAUGUAAAAAUAAAAUGUAUAUGUUCUAAUCGUAAAAAAAAUAACUUAAUUUAAAUUUAGAUUUGAUCCUAAAUAUCAUAUAUGUUGAAGUUAGUGGGAGUUAAUAGGUAGUUAGUUUUGGCACAUUUUAUAUGUAAAAGAUUGAUAAUUCAAUUAAUUUUGAUUUUGUUGAAAAUGUUCUCCUGUUGAAACAUUAUAAAUUUUAAA
rnacentral:lncRNA from 1 species